AGUAAGUAAGUGGUGAUGUAUGUGUGAACUACGGCUACAUGAGUUAUGCAUGUGUGUCAGAAUAAUAAAGAUUAGAACUAUGUAGUAUUGUAUUUUAUCUAUUUUAUAAGUUGUAAUUGAAUUUAAUUGAAUUUAUGUAACUUACCAGAUCAUCUUCGUACGGUAGAAAACCAUCCGAUCUUCAUAUCUCUCAUUAAAUUCCAGGCAUCUUGCAAACAAAAUAAAUAUCGCACAAAGUUCUCCUUCUUUUUCACGGUUGUUGUAUUCACCCGAGAGCACGAUUCCAGGAUAUACAGCAAAUCUUCUGUCGUUAAUUUGUACACCUCAAUAUCCGUCAAGUAGGAAUCUACGAGUGAUAUAAAAUAAACCAUCCAUGAUGAAAUCAUCUGCUUAUAGAGAUUUGCAGCAAAGUCAAUAUUGGAAACUUUUUGCAUGAGAAACUUAAGUCCUGGACGUGAGUCAAAUUCAAAAGCACUCGUUAUGUACUGUUUUAUGCAACGUAGCAACAUCUCACGCGAUCUGAAGCCCAAUUCAUAAUCAGCUUUCACAUCUGCAGGAUAUCCCUCAAAAAUGCAACCAUGAACUUCAGGAGGAACACAUUUAAGCUUACUUAGAAGAAGAUUUGCAACGAGCUGGAGUAGCAUUUGAUUUGCAAGAAGACCAAUCACGAGAUUUCUGUAAGGAAUGCGAAUAACAAAGUUGUCGAUGUUGUGGCCAUAUCCAUUCGGCAAUGGGUACAGCAGGAAAGAGUAGCUCCGAUCGUCAAUGAUGUGCUUCCCUUCGUGGUUGCUAGAUUUUGAAACAAGCAUCUCCCUCUGAUUGUCCAUGAGAAAGACCUGCUGUGCUAAAGCAUAGAUUCUCUGAAGUUCAUCAAUUGUGCUGUCUUUUCGAGCAGCUACCUGUAAUAAAAUUAAAAGAAAAAUGUAAUCUUCUAUAAGACAAAUUAUAUGUUGAAAGUAGCAAAA